rnacentral:lncRNA from 1 species
AGUUAUUUUUGAACGAGAGAACAAGUGACAUAGAUACUUGUGAAUUGUCUUUAGUUAUAAAAGUUAUAAAUUAUUUUCUCUCUUGUGCAUAUUAUUGGAAAUUCUAUACUAAAGAAAAAACCAAAAUGAGUUCCUUAGCAGGAGUGAUAGUUCCAGAAAUUUGUGAGCCACAGGAUGAACUGAUUAAAAAUUUUCCUCAUCAUGGAGUUGAAAAUACUCGUAUGGGGAAAAAGAAAACACGACAUCAUCCCCCAACGAUGACUACAAAUGCAAUAUAUCUACAGGUUCCUGAGCAGGGACUUCCACGAAGGAGACAUUCUUGGAUGUGCGGUUCCACAUCAAUCAAAAAGUCAUCAUGUCUCAAUGUUCCAAUAUGUGUUCAGUAUAUUGUAUAUACAAGCAUUUAAUGACUACUACACAAUGACAUGGGAAUACAAUUACUGGGCACUUGGAAAAUUUUGUAAAAUAUUGUUUGAUUUAGUUAUAAAAAUUAAAUAAAAUAGAU